rnacentral:rRNA from 1 species
GUUAAGCGACUAAGCGUACACGGUGGAUGCCCUGGCAGUCAGAGGCGAUGAAGGACGUGCUAAUCUGCGAAAAGCGUCGGUAAGGUGAUAUGAACCGUUAUAACCGGCGAUGUCCGAAUGGGGAAACCCAGUGCAAUUCGUUGCACUAUCGUUAACUGAAUACAUAGGUUAACGAGGCGAACCGGGGGAACUGAAACAUCUAAGUACCCCGAGGAAAAGAAAUCAACCGAGAUUCCCCCAGUAGCGGCGAGCGAACGGGGAGCAGCCCAGAGUCUGAAUCAGCUUGUGUGUUAGUGGAACGGUCUGGAAAGUCCGACGGUACAGGGUGAUAGUCCCGUACACCAAAAUGCACAGGCUGUGAACUCGAAGAGUAGGGCGGGACACGUGGUAUCCUGUCUGAAUAUGGGGGGACCAUCCUCCAAGGCUAAAUACUCCUGACUGACCGAUAGUGAACCAGUACCGUGAGGGAAAGGCGAAAAGAACCCCGGCGAGGGGAGUGAAAAAGAACCUGAAACCGUGUACGUACAAGCAGUGGGAGCACCUUCGGGUGUGACUGCGUACCUUUUGUAUAAUGGGUCAGCGACUUAUAUUCUGUAGCAAGGUUAACCGUAUAGGGGAGCCGCAGGGAAACCGAGUCUUAACUGGGCGUUAAGUUGCAGGGUAUAGACCCGAAACCCGGUGAUCUAGCCAUGGGCAGGUUGAAGGUUGGGUAACACUAACUGGAGGACCGAACCGACUAAUGUUGAAAAAUUAGCGGAUGACUUGUGGCUGGGGGUGAAAGGCCAAUCAAACCGGGAGAUAGCUGGUUCUCCCCGAAAGCUAUUUAGGUAGCGCCUCGUGAAUUCAUCUUCGGGGGUAGAGCACUGUUUCGGCUAGGGGGUCAUCCCGACUUACCAACCCGAUGCAAACUACGAAUACCGAAGAAUGUUAUCACGGGAGACACACGGCGGGUGCUAACGUCCGUCGUGAAGAGGGAAACAACCCAGACCGCCAGCUAAGGUCCCAAAGUCAUGGUUAAGUGGGAAACGAUGUGGGAAGGCACAGACAGCCAGGAUGUUGGCUUAGAAGCAGCCAUCAUUUAAAGAAAGCGUAAUAGCUCACUGGUCGAGUCGGCCUGCGCGGAAGAUGUAACGGGGCUAAACCAUGCACCGAAGCUGCGGCAGCGACACUAUGUGUUGUUGGGUAGGGGAGCGUUCUGUAAGCCUGCGAAGGUGUGCUGUGAGGCAUGCUGGAGGUAUCAGAAGUGCGAAUGCUGACAUAAGUAACGAUAAAGCGGGUGAAAAGCCCGCUCGCCGGAAGACCAAGGGUUCCUGUCCAACGUUAAUCGGGGCAGGGUGAGUCGACCCCUAAGGCGAGGCCGAAAGGCGUAGUCGAUGGGAAACAGGUUAAUAUUCCUGUACUUGGUGUUACUGCGAAGGGGGGACGGAGAAGGCUAUGUUAGCCGGGCGACGGUUGUCCCGGUUUAAGCAUGUAGGCUGGUUGUCCAGGCAAAUCCGGAUAA